rnacentral:lncRNA from 1 species
AAAAGACACCUAGCGGGUGCCGGUGGGUCCCCAGCGCGGCCACUUGGGCGCGCAGGCGUCUGGUGCGCGUACGCCGUCUGGCGCAGUCGGGUCCGCCGCCGCCGCCGCCGCCGAUCGAGCGUCGUCGCGAUAGGAGCGAUAGAGCCAUGCGCCAGCGAGUACAGCGACGGCCAGCCCCACGACGGCCAGCGCCACGGCAAAGGCCGGCGAGGACGCGCGCCGGCUGGCGCGCGGUUCACGGCUGUCGGGAUCACGACAGUGGAGGUCGCCGCGCGCAUAGCGUCGCGCCGCCUGGUCGUAGGCAAAGAGCGGCUUGCCCAGGCGCGCGUUGACGGCAUUGUGGGCGUCGACGGUCCAUCGGGCAAAGGCCUGACGACCGUACCGCGCGGCCACCUCGGGCGGGUGCGCGUCGAGCAGCGCGGCAAAGUGGGCGCGGCACUCGGCGCACGGCAGGAGGACCACAUAACCGCGCACGAGGGCGACGAGCGCGGGCGCCCGCUCGUCAAACGGCUCCGGGCAUUGAAAGGCCGCAUAGUGGAGGGUCUCCCACAUGGGCGGGCCCACCAGGUGCAUGACAUUGCUGCCGCCAUCUUGGGGAGCGGCCUGAUGCCCGUCGCGCACCGUCGCCGUGCUGCCGACGCCGCCGCCGUCGGGCGCCGUCGUCGUCGAUUGGAGCGUGGACAUCACCGUUGGGCAGAGACAGAGAGCGCGCGAGUGUGGACGCACGCGGUUCUUUCUUUGUCUCCUGGCGCCUCGUCUUUGUCGCGUUCUCGUUCGUAGGGCCGUCGCCUGCGAUCGCAGGCGAUGGCGCCGCGAAGCCGCGCGCACCAGCCAUGUGGCGCUAUCGCCUGCGAUCACGACGCACACCGCGUCCGUCGAGCGCGUCCUUUGCGCGCCUUUUUCCGGCCCGUCUGGGCGCGGUGCGCCUCUGUGGUCUUGGACCCCAAGAAAGCCC